UACGUAGGGCGCAAGCGUUAUCCGGAAUUAUUGGGCGUAAAGAGCUCGUAGGCGGUUUGUCGCGUCUGCCGUGAAAGUCCGGGGCUCAACUCCGGAUCUGCGGUGGGUACGGGCAGACUAGAGUGAUGUAGGGGAGACUGGAAUUCCUGGUGUAGCGGUGAAAUGCGUAGAUAUACGGAGGAACACCAGAGGCGAAGGCGGAUCGCUGGGCCAACACUGACGCUGAGACGCGAAAGCUAGGGUAGCAAACGGG
rnacentral:rRNA from 1 species